rnacentral:lncRNA from 12 species
CUUCCAGAUGUGUUUGAAAAAGCAGUGACAGACCAGGUGCUUUUCUGUUAGCCCUCUGUCCACCUGAAUUCCUAGUUUUGUGGAUCUGGCACCUUUCAGAACCUUUCAGUGUUUUGGCUUCUUUGUGCUCUGCAGCGACCAUGUUCCUGCUGCCAGGGGACCACGGCCAAACUGCUGCUUUUCUGCAAGAAAACUGAGAAGCUCCUGCUUGAAGCCUGGAAAAAUACUCUCAGUAGUGAUUAUUCCAGAGGGAAAAAAAAAAAUCCGAAGGAAGCAGAACGCAACAAAUCACCAGCACAACCCCAGCAGAAGGCGUUCCGGAGCCCGUGCGCUGCCCCGCGCUGCCGCCAGGGGGAGCAGCCCCGGCGCGCCCGAGGCGCUCCGCCAUCGCCGCCGAGCGCGCACGUACAUAAAGGAAAAAAACAACAAACCGAACCCGAACCGAAAUAAAACCCGCAACCAACCAAAAUAGAUGUUCCAGGAAGAGAAUCCUGGUUGAUUGCGAAGCGCUGACGCAGAUCAGCCCCCAGUGCGUAAUUUUCGCAGCGGCAGCAGCGGAGGGGCGGGAGCGGGGCAGGGCCGCUCCGCACCCCCCGCACGCCCCCGGCGCUUCCCGGGCUCGCCCCGGGAGAUCUACCGGGAGGGCGACUGCGGCAGGCGCCGGGCCAGCGGAGCCCCGCAGCGGGCGGCGGUACCGGCGGAGCCCGGGGACGGGCUGGUUCCGAC